rnacentral:rRNA from 1 species
GACGAACGCUGGCGGCGUGCUUAACACAUGCAAGUCGAACGGAAAGGCCCUGCUUUUGUGGGGUGCUCGAGUGGCGAACGGGUGAGUAACACGUGAGUAACCUGCCCUUGACUUUGGGAUAACUUCAGGAAACUGGGGCUAAUACCGGAUAGGAGCUCCUGCUGCAUGGUGGGGGUUGGAAAGUUUCGGCGGUUGGGGAUGGACUCGCGGCUUAUCAGCUUGUUGGUGGGGUAGCGGCUUACCAAGGCUUUGACGGGUAGCCGGCCUGAGAGGGUGACCGGCCACAUUGGGACUGAGACACGGCCCAGACUCCUACGGGAGGCAGCAGUGGGGAAUAUUGCACAAUGGGCGGAAGCCUGAUGCAGCAACGCCGCGUGCGGGAUGACGGCCUUCGGGUUGUAAACCGCUUUCGCCUGUGACGAAGCGUGAGUGACGGUAAUGGGUAAAGAAGCACCGGCUAACUACGUG